UUAUCAAGAAUUUAAUUGCCGAACAAAUAAACUUGAUUCAACACAAGAUGUAUUUCGUAGUUUUUUGGGAUAAAACGUCUGCAAUCGUACCUGCAUCAUGGGUAGAUUCAGAA